rnacentral:rRNA from 1 species
CCUUGCCAGCCCGCUCAAGAAACUCAAAGGAAGUUGACGGGGGCCCGCACAAGCGGUGGAGUAUGUGGUUUAAUUCGAUGCAACGCGAAGAACCUUACCUGGUCUUGACAUCCCGGAGACCCUUAGGAAACUAGGGGGUGCUUCCAUCUGGAAGAAUCUGGAGACAGGUGCUGCAUGGCUGUCGUCAGCUCGUGUCGUGAGAUGUUGGGUUAAGUCCCGCAACGAGCGCAACCCUUGCCUUUAGUUGCCAGCAGUUCGGCUGGGCACUCUAAAGGGACUGCCGGUGUUAAACCGGAGGAAGGUGGGGAUGACGUCAAGUCCUCAUGGCCUUUAUGACCAGGGCUACACACGUACUACAAUGGCCGAUACAAAGGGCAGCGACACUGCGAGGUGAAGCCAAUCCCGUAAAAUCGGUCUCAGUCCGGAUUGGAGUCUGCAACUCGACUCCAUGAAGUUGGAAUCGCUAGUAAUCGUGGAUCAGCAUGCCACGGUGAAUACGUUCCCGGGCCUU